UACAGAGGGGGCAAGCGUUGUUCGGAGUUACUGGGCGUAAAGGGCGCGUAGGCGGCGCUCCAAGUUAGGCGUGAAAGCCCCGGGCUCAACCUGGGAAUUGCGCUUAAGACUGGAGUGCUCGAGUGCGGAAGAGGUGAGUGGAAUUCCCAGUGUAGAGGUGAAAUUCGUAGAUAUUGGGAAGAACACCAGUGGCGAAGGCGGCUCACUGGUCCGCAACUGACGCUGAGGCGCGAAAGCGUGGGGAGCAAACAGG
rnacentral:rRNA from 1 species